rnacentral:rRNA from 1 species
GUUCCUGCGGGAGGCAGCAGUGGGGAAUAUUGCACAAUGGGCGCAAGCCUGAUGCAGCGACGCCGCGUGGGGGAUGAAGGCCUUCGGGUUGUAAACUCCUUUCGCUAGGGACGAAGCUUUUUUGUGACGGUACCUAGAUAAGAAGCACCGGCUAACUACGUGCCAGCAGCCGCGGUAAUACGUAGGGUGCGAGCGUUGUCCGGAAUUACUGGGCGUAAAGGGCUCGUAGGUGGUUUGUCGCGUCGUCUGUGAAAUUCUGGGGCUUAACUCCGGGCGUGCAGGCGAUACGGGCAUAACUUGAGUGCUGUAGGGGUAACUGGAAUUCCUGGUGUAGCGGUGAAAUGCGCAGAUAUCAGGAGGAACACCGAUGGCGAAGGCAGGUUACUGGGCAGUUACUGACGCUGAGGAGCGAAAGCAUGGGUAGCGAACAGGAUUAGAAACCCCAGUAGUCCC